rnacentral:rRNA from 1 species
GCCAGACUCCUACGGGAGGCAGCAGUGGGGGAUAUUGCACAAUGGGGGGAACCCUGAUGCAGCGACGCCGCGUGGGUGAAGGAGCGUUUCGGCGCGUAAAGCCCUAUCGGCAGGGAAGAAGGAGGACGGUACCUGACUAAGAAGCCCCGGCUAACUACGUGCCAGCAGCCGCGGUAAUACGUAGGGGGCAAGCGUUAUCCGGAUUUACUGGGUGUAAAGGGGGCGCAGACGGCAGCGCAAGCCAGGAGUGAAAGCCCGGGGCCCAACCCCGGGACUGCUCUUGGAACUGCGCGGCUGGAGUGCAGGAGGGGCAGGCGGAAUUCCUGGUGUAGCGGUGAAAUGCGUAGAUAUUAGGAGGAACACCAGUGGCGAAGGCGGCUUACUGGACUGUAACUGACGUUGAGGCUCGAAAGCGUGGGGAGCAAACAGGAUUAGAUACCCCAGUAAG